UACGGGGGGGGCAAGCGUUGUUCGGAAUUACUGGGCGUAAAGGGCUCGUAGGCGGCCAACUAAGUCAGACGUGAAAUCCCUCGGCUUAACCGGGGAACUGCAUCUGAUACUGGAUGGCUUGAGUUCGGGAGAGGGAUGCGGAAUUCCCGGUGUAGUGGUGAUAUGCGUAGAUAUCGGGAGGAACACCUGUGGCGAAGGCGGAUUUCUGGGCCUUACCUGACGCUGAGACGCGAAAGCGUGGGGAGCGAACCGG
rnacentral:rRNA from 1 species